CCUACGGGAGGCAGCAGUGGGGAAUAUUGCACAAUGGGGGGAACCCUGAUGCAGCGACGCCGCGUGAGUGAAGCAGUAUUUCGGUAUGUACAGCUCUAUCAGCAGGGAAGAAAAUGACGGUACCUGACUAAGAAGCCCCGGCUAACUACGUUCCAGCGGCCGCGGUAAUACGUAGGGGGCAAGCGUUAUCCGGAUUUACUGGGUGUAAAGGGAGCGCAGACGGCUGUGCAAGUCUUGAGUGAAAGGCGGGGGCCCAACCCCCGGACUGCGCUGGAAACUGUAAAGCUGGAGUGCCGGAGAGGUAAGCGGAAUUCCUAGUGGAGCGGUGAAAUGCGGAGAUAUUAGGAGGAACACCAGUGGCGAAGGCGGCUUACUGGACUGCAACUGACGUUGAGGCUCGAAAGCGUGGGGAGCAAACAGGAUUAGAUACCCGGGUAGUC
rnacentral:rRNA from 1 species